GAUGAACGCUGGCGGCGUGCCUAAUACAUGCAAGUCGAGCGAACAGACGAGGAGCUUGCUCCUCUGACGUUAGCGGCGGACGGGUGAGUAACACGUGGAUAACCUACCUAUAAGACUGGGAUAACUUCGGGAAACCGGAGCUAAUACCGGAUAAUAUAUUGAACCGCAUGGUUCAAUAGUGAAAGACGGUUUUGCUGUCACCUAUAGAUGGAUCCGCGCCGCAUUAGCUAGUUGGUAAGGUAUCGGCUUACCAAGGUAACGAUGCGUAGCCGACCUGAGAGGGUGAUCGGCCACACUGGAACUGAGACACGGUCCAGACUCCUACGGGAGGCAGCAGUAGGGAAUCUUCCGCAAUGGGCGAAAGCCUGACGGAGCAACGCCGCGUGAGUGAUGAAGGUCUUCGGAUCGUAAAACUCUGUUAUUAGGGAAGAACAAAUGUGUAAGUAACUAUGCACGUCUUGACGGUACCUAAUCAGAAAGCCACGGCUAACUACGUG
rnacentral:rRNA from 1 species